rnacentral:lncRNA from 1 species
AGCAGAUCCUGGAGACGAAAACAUGCAGAGGGCACUCGAGAGAGAUCUCCCUUCUCGGCUGGCGGGAGAACCCCAACGCAAGGACAUCUACACAGUUCAACCCUGAAUUGUUUGGCUCAGUUGAUUAGUGUUCGCCUUGAUAUUAUGUAUCAACCAAUCUAAAUCCGACAUGUCCUUGUUUAUAUAAAUCUAGCAAUGUUUGUCAGAUUCAUUGGAAAGGGUAGUCCGGGGUCCAAACUGGACCCGAGAGACGGGUCUCGCUUCCGCGCAAAAACCAGAGGUGCAGGGUGCGCUCCUCAGGGAACGGGGUUCUAGGGCACGCGGCUGUCGCUUGGAUUGGUGCCGGAAGCAAGCGCUGUUCGCAUAGUCGUUCUGUGUUCUCUGUUAUGUGCCGAGGUUGUUGCGAUCCUCAUACGCAACAGGACACCUCCGCACUGCGUGGGGGGUUCUGCAUUGAGUUACAGUGCAUAUUCUUUGCUAAUAAAGGGAGCAGAAAUACACUUGGUUUUCCUCAGGCGUCGACGACGAGAUGGUGGCCGGCGAGGCGGCAUGGCAGGAGACCGAGGGUGUCGUGAACGGCGACAAGCAGCCUGGGUGGAACCUGCUGCUGAGGCAAGGCCGGGUUCGCGUGCAAGAGUGGAAAGAGAGAUGUAAACGUUCUUCGCAGUGUCGUGGAAGCGAGCGUCUGCAGUUUGCCAAGCAGAAGAAAAGAAGGAAUCACACUGCGUGCGGAACUCGAGGACGACGGGGCACCAACAGUGUGUUUUGAAGGAAGGCUCUGGAGAUGCAUCUCACUCGCCCUUCGCAUGCAGAAGGUUGGGGUGUGAGCGGGCGUAGGACAGAACCGUGGAUGAACUUUCAGGAGAAAUCGAGGUUGCCAGAGAGCUCCUCGCAGAAAUCCGCACCAGAUGCUCGUCAAAACUUGACUCCGUCCUGGUCAUACGCACUGUCUGAUAUGCAGGUCUACGUACAUAUCGUGCGUAUUUGCUUUCUGUUGUACGUGUCUCGGGUUCAUUCCGUAGCGUUUCAAGAGUUUGGUGGCCAACCUUUCGGUGGCUGCCCUGUGGUGUUUUUGGGAGGUGCUGUUACCUCCUACGCCUCAUUUGUGUUUGUUUGUAUGCCGACAUAAGCGAGGCAGAUGCAAAGGUUGGGGGCAACCUCUUUUUUCGCCUCUCUGUAGCUGUAACUCGUUUUACUGAGAAGCAGACAAAAGAGGCAUACGGGGCAAAGAAUACACGCCUGCACGGCUCGGCGGUGAGGGCGUUUUUGCCUUUCCUGGAAGGUUGUGUUGUGUUUCGGGCUCAACUACUGUCAUGGAUAAUAACGAUACAUGCCACUGCUGUGAUGGGUAUUUCCAGAAUACUGGUUUUGUGCGGAGGAUUGGAAAUUAAGAUCAUAAAACAUACCUGGAUAACCCACACACUGACUACAUGUCAAGUCAUAAAUUGUUGACGUUCCCCAGAAAGAGAUUAUAAAUAAUUUUAAGUUGGAGAUGGGCAUGCCCGGGAAACGACUGCAAACAGUCUAACGGUGGUGGCCAACCCCAGUCUCUUGGGCAUGCGUAGCACGGUGGUGGUGCGUGAUUUUUUUUCUCGAGAUGCUGGACAUGAAAACAUGCACGUAGGUUCAAAUAUACGCAUUGGUUUACUUGUUCACCCAUUCGUGUUUUGCAUGCGAUGAAACGAGCAAGGCUAUUAAUUUAGGUCCUUCCCAGCUUUACGUCUUCACAGUGGCUGUGGUUGUGAAUGGGGUGGGCGUAGAGCGUCUCGGUCCCAACUGUAUGUACACCAUGUUGCAAGACUCCGGAAAGACCUUGGCAAUUGACUCCUAGUUUAUGCUCCGUCUGUGUGGAUAUCACAGGUCUUUCCCCGGCAGCGUGUUUGCCGUUGUCUUCAGAAAGUCCAACACACUCAUGCAGAAAAGGGCGACUUCCUACAAGAGACUUGGCAGUUGCGUGAGAGUCACGAGCACGUCGCGAGUGAGGCAGCCGACACCACGUUGCCCGCCUCGGCGCUUUAUGGUGUACAGAAC